GUUGAACGCUGGCGGCAGGCCUAACACAUGCAAGUCGAGCGGGGUUUUCGGACCUAGCGGCGGACGGGUGAGUAAUGCGUCGGAAGCUGCCCGAUAGAGGGGGAUACCAGUUGGAAACGACUGUUAAUACCGCAUAAUGUCUACGGACCAAAGUGUGGGACCUUCGGGCCACAUGCUAUCGGAUGCGCCUACGUGGGAUUAGCUAGUUGGGGAGGUAAUGGCUCACCAAGGCGACGAUCCCUAGCUGGUUUGAGAGGAUGAUCAGCCACACUGGAACUGAGACACGGUCCAGCCUCCUACGGGAGGCAGCAGUGGGGAAUAUUGGACAAGGGGCGCAAGCCUGAUCCAGCCAUGCCGCGUGUGUGAAGAAGGCCUUCGGGUUGUAAAGCACUUUCAGCGAGGAGGAAGGGAUGUAUGUUAAUAGCAUGCAUUUUUGACGUUACUCGCAGAAGAAGCACCGGCUAACUCUGUGCCAGCCGCCGCAGUAAAAC
rnacentral:rRNA from 1 species